GAGUGAACGCUGGCGGUAGGCCUAACACAUGCAAGUCGAACGGCAGCACAGUAAGAGCUUGCUCUUACGGGUGGCGAGUGGCGGACGGGUGAGGAAUACAUCGGAAUCUACUUUUUCGUGGGGGAUAACGUAGGGAAACUUACGCUAAUACCGCAUACGACCUACGGGUGAAAGCAGGGGAUCUUCGGACCUUGCGCGAUUGAAUGAGCCGAUGUCGGAUUAGCUAGUUGGCGGGGUAAAGGCCCACCAAGGCGACGAUCCGUAGCUGGUCUGAGAGGAUGAUCAGCCACACUGGAACUGAGACACGGUCCAGACUCCUACGGGAGGCAGCAGUGGGGAAUAUUGGACAAUGGGCGCAAGCCUGAUCCAGCCAUACCGCGUGGGUGAAGAAGGCCUUCGGGUUGUAAAGCCCUUUUGUUGGGAAAGAAAAGCAGCAGGUUAAUACCCCGCUGUUCUGACGUUACCCAAAGAAUAAGCACCGGCUAACUUCGUG
rnacentral:rRNA from 1 species